UACGUAGGGGGCAAGCGUUAUCCGGAUUUACUGGGUGUAAAGGGAGCGUAGACGGUAGACCAAGUCUGAAGUGAAAGCCCGGGGCUCAACCCCGGAACUGCUUUGGAAACUGGUAAACUAGAGUGCAGGAGAGGUAAGUGGAAUUCCUAGUGUAGCGGUGAAAUGCGUAGAUAUUAGGAGGAACACCAGUGGCGAAGGCGGCUUACUGGACUGUAACUGACGUUGAGGCUCGAAAGCGUGGGGAGCAAACAGG
rnacentral:rRNA from 1 species